CUGAACAAUCUGAACUCUGCCUUUAUUUGGUGCCACAGGUAAGCCAGGAGGGGGCGCAUGGUUCCCACAUCAUGACAACCACAGGGUGCAGGUGAUGCCACCUUUUCUGACCAUGGAGGCUCCCACGUGUUCAACAUCGGCUGCUUUAGAGGACGAGACCUGCGUUCUGCUCAGCACACACUGAGCACCAUCACCUCACUGGGGGACAGCUGGAAGCAGAGCUGCGUAUAGAUUUUAUGACAAGCUGAACAGCCUCCAGUAAUCAUCACAUCAGCUCUGAUUGCUACUGGACCAACAUUUUGGGGAAAGGUUUCUGAUUGAUCUCAAGCCAAAUUCCCAAGCCAAGGUGGUUUCUGGAGAUGCUGUUCAGCUGCUGAUAACAUCUGGCCUUUGGACAGGCUCAAAAAAAUUAAAGCUAAUAAUGCUAGAUUCAGUUGCAUCUAUGGGGUUCCAUAUUCUCCAUUUCCCCCUUUCUGCUUUUGCAACUGCUGUUUUUAGGGAAAGAUUCAUUCUUUCCACUAUGGCUUGUCCUUGAGAAUUGUAUGGGAUACCAGUAAUGUGUUUAGUAUUCCACAUAGAGAAAAAUGUAGCUAGAGUUUGGAUAGUACAGCCUGGGGCAUUAACUGUUUUAGUAGAAGCUGGAAUGCCCAUCACCACAAAACACUGCAAAAAUUGAUGUUUAACACAGUCAGAAGACUCACCUGAUUUGCACAUAGCCCAGAAAAAGUGAGAAAAUGUGUACACACAUAUAUGUACAAAAGCUAGUCUCCCAAAUGAGGAAACAAGUGUGAUAUUCAUUUGCCAAAGAGAGUUAGGUUCCAAUCUUCGAUGAUUAACUCCUCCUAUAAAAGAUGAUGAAUGUACGAUUUGGCAACUUGGGCAUCACUGGAUAAUAGCUUAACUUAUUUCCAGGUAAUGCUGUAUCUGCAUUUGAGACAAGGCAUUAACAUGGGUUAAAUUGUGAAAGUGUCUAGAAUUAGAUACUGCAUUAGCAAUGAGGUGAUUAGCCAUUUGAUUCCCUUCAGUCAAAGGUCCUGUAAGAGGUGUAUAGCCCUAGUGUGAGU
rnacentral:lncRNA from 1 species